rnacentral:lncRNA from 1 species
GGCCACAAUGAGACUCCUGCGAGCUGUAGAAGGUUUGGUGAUGGUUGAGGCUGAGCCAGUGAGGAAGGAGGCUGCCAUGGUCAUGGAAGCCAUCUGUGCAAAUUUGGUUGGUUGAUCUUUUUUCUUGCUUUUGUUUUUUGCCUCUCAAUCUGACUUGCAGUAUGUAAGCGAAGUGAAUUCUGGCUUGGUUUAAAGUCCUAAGUGAAAUGAGAAUGUGCUUCUUAGAACAAUAGCAUCAUCCAUUUCCUUAUCGGCAGAAAUGUUUUGCCAAAUGGGUUGUUGCCACGUGUCUUGCUUUAUCCUUCUGAAAACUCUUGGCUCCGGAAGCCUCUUCACUUCAUCUAGACAAACAAAAGCAGACUCGGCUAAUUAGCACAGAAAUGGACUUACCUGAAGUUAAAAUAAAUAGAAAUUUAUAGCAAUCCCCAUUUCUAGCAUUAAGCACUGAACAAGAUUUUAUAAUUAUCAUUAUCAUAGUGAGUUAUGUAAUGUGUUCUAAAAGUUCUUAUUUUGUGAUAAAUGUGAAAAUAAUGAAUUAUCAUGAAUUUUUUUAUUUACAAAUCUCUCUCUAUUUUCAAGUCAAACAUGUCUAAUUUGUGCAAUAUUUCACACAAUGUAAUAUAUAUAUAUAUAUAUAUAUUGAAAUUUUUGUGAAGUACAUGCUAUUAUGGAACAUGAUAACUUCAAUGACGGGGACAUAGGGCAAUGAGGCCGAUAGGGGUCACGUGCUGAGUACAAUUUGUGAAGGAUAACCAAGAUAUAUGAAGUAAUGAUGUGAUAUGAUUUGGAUUGUGUGUUUUUAACCAAUUUUUCACUCUUUUUAUUUUAUUUCAUUCAAUUCACCCACCAUGAUUCUGGAAUUUUCUUUAUUUUCGGAUCGGAGUGUGACAAUCUUCCUCCUAGUAUUCCUGUGACUUCCAAGGAGGGUGUCGUAUGCAAACUGUGAAAAUCCUUAUAUGGUUUGAAGCAGUAUCUAAGAGUAUGGUUUGGAAGGUUUGCUACAUCUAUGAAAAAAAUUGGCAGCUUUAAUUAUUUAUGUUGAUGAUAUGAUAGUAACUUGAGAUGAUUAGGAAGAAAUGCAGUGGCUUCAAAAGUAUUUGACUUCUGAAUUUGAGAUGAAAUUAUUGGGUGAAUUAAAGUACUAUCUUGCGAUUGAGGUUGCUAGAUCUAAAAAUUGUAUUUUUCUAUCCCAAAGAAAGUAUGUUUUAGAUUUUCUUGCAGAGAUUGGUAUGUUAGAUUAUAAACCGAUUGACACUCCUAGUAAAUAGAAUCAUAAGUUGGGGUUGUAUCGUAAUCAAGUUCUUGCUGAUAAGGAGUGUUAUCAUAGGCUUGUAGGGAAAUUGAUUUAUUUGGCUCAUAUACGUCCUGAUAUAGCAUAUGCAAUUAAUGUGGUAAGUCAAUUUAUACAUUCACCAAGUCUUGAUCACAUGAGUGUUGUUAUGCGUAUUUUGAGAUACUUGAAGGUAACUCCUUGCAAGGUUUAGUAUUCUUUAAGUACGGUCAUGUGGAUGUGGAAGGGUAUACAGAUGUCGUUUGGGCAGGUUCAGUUAUUGGCAUGCAUUCUACUUUUAGGUAUUUUACCUUUGUUGGUUGUUAUCUUGUUACUCAGAGUAGUAAAAAAACAAAGGUGGUAUGGCUAGGUCAAGUGUGGAAGCCAAGUUUCCUGGCAUGUCAAAACGGAUAUGUGAAUUGCUUUGGUUGAAAACAUUGAUGAGAGAUCUUGGGUUUGAACCCGAGAAACCUAAGAGUUUGUAUUGUGAUAUUAGGCUGCUAUUAAGAUUGCUCAUAAUCCUGUGCAACAUGAUUGUACGAAGCAUAUGAAGAUUGAUCGACAAUUUAUUAGAGAAAAAUUGGAUGUUGGAAUAAUUGUUUUUCCAUUUAUGACAUAAGAAGAUCAGUUGAUGGAUAUUCUUAUCAAAACUGCCUAUACUAGUGUUUUUCUGAAGUUGCUUGACACAUUCGGCAUGCGUGAAAUCUUUGCUCCAACUUGAGGGGGAGUAUUGCGUGUUCCUUAUUCAUUUAGGUUACUUAUUUUUAGGGAUUUAAUUUUUAGUUUGUUUCCUAUUUUAUUCACGGUGCAAAUAGGAUUCCUUGUCUAGUAAGACGUACUUAUAAAACAUUCUUGUAACCUCCAUAAAUUGCCUUCAUUGUGGAGAAGAGUACAAUAUGAAAUUUUACCCCAUGUUGUCUAACUUGGAAUCAUAGCCUGGUUUGAACGUUGAUAAAUAAAAAGAGGCAACAUAUUAAUGUCUUCAAAACUAGAAAUCCAAAAACUAAAGGUCCGUUGAUAACCAUUUCAAUUUUAUUUUUGUUUUUAUUUUUUGUGCUAGAGUUUAGAGGAAAAUGAAGGUGAAAACAAAAACUUGAAAGUGAAAACAAUUUCAAAUAAAUUUUAGAUUUUUGUUUUUGUUUUCACUUUUGUUACUCCUCCCCAUCCUCCCCUCCAAUCUUCCCUCUCAAUUUCAUCUCCACUCUCAUUCUCACUUCCAUUCUUUUUUUUUCCCUCUAUACUCUAGAACAAAAAAUGGAACCUAAAAACUAAAAAUUGAAAUUGAAAUGGUUAUCAAAAGGGAACUAAGAUUUUAUCUUCAAUAAACACUAGGUUCUCUCAGACUAGGCUUCUACUUUAUCCUAUGUUGGGUUAUCGCAUUUAGGUCCCAUGUUUAGAUCGUAGAACUUGCGUUUAGACCCAUGUCUGAGUCGCAAUUCGAACCUAGGUCUCAUGAAGUUUCAAAAAAUAUCAUGAUUUUUUAUUUUAUUUUAAUACAGUCGAUAGUCUAAAUUACAAAGGGGAUGAGGGUUGUUCACAUGCACUACUAAGGUGUCAUAGUAGUUCUAACUUGAGACCACUAGUCAAGACCCUUCUCCACUAGGCUAAAUUUCGUUGGCAAAAAAAAUACCCUCACUUUGUUAAAAGAAACAAAAAAUAAAAAAAGUAUCUACCAAACAUGUUUUUUUUUUCCUUUUGUUAAUGCGGGGCCCUAAUCCUUAAGAAAACUGAAGGUAGCUCACAAUAAAUGUACACCAUGAUACAUGAGGGGUGCAAGUUGGAUUGGAAAUUCCAAUUACAAACGCUUCCGAUUAGAAAAUUUCCAAUUUUGGCAAGUUCAAAUCAAUUCCAACAUCCGAAAGUUUCAAAAAAAGAAAAAGAAAAAAGGAUUGGAAUUGGAAUGUAUCUCAAGAUUUCAAAAAAUUCCACAUUCUGAAAUAUAUUGGGGUUUCAAAGUUGGAAUACACACAAUGACUAAUUUCAUGUUGAACUAAAUAUGAUUUAAUGACCAGAUAGACAUAGACAAGUUGUACUUUAAUGCCCUGUUUGGAUGAGGUAUUUGUGGGAGGGAUUUCAAGCAAAGGCUUAGUUCCAAUUAUAUAUUAUAAUUAUACUUUUUUAAUUUCAAAUGACUCUAUGUAAAAUGAUAUGUAGUGUUUGAAUGAGAAAAAAAAACAACUAAAAAAAGGAACAGCUAAGAAAAAGGGAAAAAAAAAUCUUAUGUUUACAAGAAAUUACCCAAUCAAAUCCCACCAACAAAAUAAUUAGCCAAACAAAGAACUUUAUUAAUCCAAUCAUUUUGAAGUGUCUCACCUUAAAAUCUCAUUAUCUUGAAAUCCCCUCACUUCAAAAUCUCAUCACUUCAAAAUCCCUCAUCCAAACACAACCUAAAGGAUAACAAUAUCUAAAUACUAGCAUAUAAUAGUUUUAGAACUUUCGGUAUGAGUUUUCAAUUAUGAGUCAAUUUUAACCUUUCAAAUGGUUGGGCAUGUUUAAAAUUUUGAACUAAUUUCUGAAUAUUUUCAAAAAAAUCAUUUUGGGAAAUGGAAUCCCCUCAUUCCGAUCCAUUCCGUCGGAAAAUCAAGCCUAAUGAUGUGACAAUGUUAGCAAAAAAUAAAAAUAAAAACAAAAACUUGCUUGACUUACGAUUACACCUUUAUUAUAAACUUCCACUCAUUUGGAUGGCAAGAAAAGGGGAUUGGGAAUGGGAAAUCAUUUAUUUUUCCAUGUUUGAUAAGUACAUGUAUUUUUUUUUAAUAUACAAAUGAUAGUGUAAACUAAAUGGGGGAAGGAGGUUUCUCAUACAUUAUCAAGGUGUCAUUGGUGUUUGAACCUGAGACUAUUGGUCUGCAAGUCAAGGCCCUUUCCCAUUAUACUAGACUCCGUUGACUUUGUUAAGUCCACGUUUGGGAAAUGAUUUCAUGGCACUUGCGAAAAUAUGGGGAAAUGCAACCCUCCAUCCAUGUUGGGUUUUGUUAAGCUCAUAAUUUCAUACAUAUACAUGCCCUAUUUACUUACUCCUUUUACUUAGUUUCUUAGAAUUCUGAGUAAUUUACCUCUCUUUGUGUGUUUUUUAGGCUAAUAGAGUAAGAGAGAAUAAUUCAUGCAAUUCAAGCAUGUCAAGGCCUCAUUUGGAUGAAUGGAAAAAGAGCUUAAAGAUGAAUCCAUUUUUGGCUGCACUCCCUUGUCAGUCCAGUUUCGUAGGUCAUAGUGCAUGCCUAUUUCAACAACCUACACACCUCGGAUGAAGCAACAUCCUUCAUGGACAUAGUUUCAAUGGGUGUCUAUUAUAACAUAUCCAAAAUGUAGAACCAUUGGACAAAGCUGGAGUUCGUCACCCAUCAAACACAAAACCAUGCUCAAUAUGAAGUUUGUGUACGCUACCAAAUGAGUUAGCAAUUUAUUUCGGCCUUAACUUCUUCCUCCAGCCUUGGAUUGGCCCAUGAUUGGAAAGAUGACAUUCUGAACUUCAAGAUGGAGGUCUCAAAAUCAUCAUUUGCUUAAGGGAAUCCCAAUUCGUGAGCCCUUGAAGUUGCAGGUCAUGCUGACCUAAGGAUGAACUAAGUAUGCUUGGUCAUUCUGACCUAAGCAUGAGGUGUUAUUGAUUGUGGGGAAGUUAGGUAAAGCAGAUUCAUUACUUAUAAUUAGAGUGGAGUUUUGCAGAAGCCAAAAGAAAGAAAAGAAGAUGAAGUGGGAGCUGCAGCACUAAGCCUAAAGAGAAGAAGAAUUAUUUUCAAAUUCAAUUGUGUGUUAGGUGAAGUGGGUGUAGUUAGUGAACUCAAUUAUAUAAUAUGAAAAACCUAACCCCAUGCCUAUAAAUAGUGAGGUUCCCUAAGUCUUCAAACACACCCCAAGGGGGGAAGCUCUCAAACAUCUCUCUAGAGCUCCUCUCUUUUCUCCCUUCUCCCUUCUCAUUCUCUUCGUUCUCCUCCUCUCCCUUCUCUUCUUCUCCUUUCUCUUUCCCAAACACUUUCUCCUCCUUCUCUUCUUCUAAAUUAUUCAAACACCUCUCUCCUCCCUUCCAAAAAUUCUCCAUAUUCUCAAACACCUUUCCCUUCUCUCCUAAAAUUAUCCAAGUUCUCAAACACCUUUCUCUUCUCUCUCUCUCUCUCUCUCUCUCAAAUUCUCUAAGCUUUUAUUUAAUGUUCUCAAUUGUUGUACAAAACCCUUUUGCUUCUUGGUUGUAAUUUAUUUUUCAUUGUAAUGUAAAUUCUUUUCUUAAGUUUUCAAGUUUGAUUAGUUUCCAAGUUUCAAUUACGGAUUCUGGUUCUUAUUCAUUAUGCUUAUUAGUUAAUAUGCUUGUUUGAAUGAUUGAUCACCAUUAAAACUUGUAUGUUAGGUAUCUUGGUUUGAAUUAAGAGUAGACACCAUGCUUUCAUUCGAAUUGAACUAUAAAUAGGAAGAGUAUGUAUGGACAUUCGACAACAGAGAUUAGAUACAUACCUGGUUGUUUAAAACAUUCUUCUAUGCUUAAUGAAUUUUUAAUGCUUAAUUUUAGGUUAGACAACAAAUGAUCAAAUUAUGAAAUUAGGAAUACAAAGUUAGAACCUGACACCAUGACUUAAUCAUACUUUAGCUAGAAUCAAUCCGUGAAUCUAAAUUGAUCAUGGAAACUAAUUUUCUUGAGUUUGGUUUUUCUUUCUUAUUUUCUUUUCUUUUCUUUUCUUUCUUGUUUUCUAUUUUGUAUAGGGAAAUUGAAUUGGAUCAUUCAAUCACCAAUCCCUGUGGAAUUGACCGCGCACUUACAUAUGCUAGACUACCAAUGGCUCGUGCACUUGUAAGUAUCACAAGUUCAAGAUGCAGCUGAAUCCAUUUUGGUGUAGCUAAAUCGAUGCGACAAGUUUUUGUAUUAUGUUAAGCUCAUAAUUUCAUACAUAUGCAUGCCUUAUUUACUUACUCAUUUUACUUAGUUUCUUAGAAUUCUGAGUCAUUUGUAUCUCUUUGUGUGUUUUGUAGUCCAAUAGAGCAAGAGAGCAUAAUUCAUGCAAUUCAAGCUUGUUAAGGCCUCAUUUGGAUGAAUGGAAGAAGAGCUUAAAGACAAAUCCAUUUUUUGCUGCACUCCCUUGUCAGUCCAGUUUUGUAUGUCACAUUUCAGGCCCAUUUUCAGAAACCUACACAGCUCGAAUGAGGCAGCAUCGUUCACGGCAUGUGUUCCAAUUGGUAUCUAUUAUAACAUAUCCAAAAUGCAGCCUCAUUGGAUAAAUCUGGAGUUCGUCAACCAUCAAACAUAGAACCAUGUUCAGGAUGAAGUUUGUGUACACUGCCAAAUGAGUUAGCAAUUUGUUUCGGCCUCAACUUCUUCUUCCGACCUUGGAUUGGCCCAAGUGAUAUGUGGUUGGAAAGAUGACAUUUUGAACUGCAAGUUGGAGGGCUCAAAGUUGUCAUUUGCUUAAGGGAAGCCCAAUUCGUGAGCCCUUGAAGUUGCAGGUCAUGCUGGUAUAAGGAUGAGCUAAGUGUGCUUGGUCAUUCUGAACUAAGCAUGAGGUGUUAUUGAUUGUGGGGAAGUUAGGUGAAGCAUAUUCAUUACUUAUAAUUGGAGUGGAGUUUUGCAGCAGCCAAAAGAAAGAAAGAAGAUGAAAUGAGAGCUGCAACACUAAGCCUGAAGAGAAGAGGAAUUGUUUUCAAAUUCAAUUGUGUUAGGUGAAGUGGGUGUGGUUAGUGAACUUAAUUGUAUAAUAUGAAAAACCUAACUCCGGGCAUAUAAAUAGUGAACUUGAGAAAGAGAAGGGAGAAGAAAAAAAGGGAGAGAAGAAGAAGGAAGGGAGGAGAAGGAAGAGAGGAAAAAGAAGAAGGGAGAUGAGCUCUAGAGAGGUGUUUGAGAGCUCCCCCCCUUGGGGUGUGUUUGAAGACUUGCGGAACCUCACUAUUUAUAGGCAUGGGGUUAGGUUUUUCAAAUUAUACAAUUAAGUUCACUAACCACACCACUUCACUUAACACACAAUUGAAUUUGAAAACAAUUCCUCUUCUCUUUCGGCUUAGUGCUGCAGCUCCCACUUCAUCUUCUUUUCUUUCUUUUGGCUGCUGUAAAACUCCACUCCAAUUAUAAGUAAUGAAUCGGCUUCACCUAACUUCCCCACAAUCAAUAACACCUCAUGCUUAGGUCAGAAUGACCAAGCACACUUAGCUCAUCCUUAGGUGAGCAUGACCUGCAACUUCAAGGGCUCACGAAUUGGGCUUCCUUUAAGCAAAUGACAACUUUGAGCCCUCCAUCUUGCAGUUCAGAAUGUCAUCUUUCCAACCACAUGUCAUUUGGCCAAUCCAAGGUCGGAGGAAGAAGUUAAGGCCGAAACAAAUUGCUAACUCAUUUGGCAGCAUACAUAAACUUCAUCCUGAGCAUGGUUCUGUGUUUGAUGGGUAACGAACUCCAAAUUUAUCCAAUGAGGUGGAAUUUUGGCUAUGUUAUAACAGACACCCAUUGGAACAAAUUCCAUGAAGGAUGUUGCCUCAUCCGAGCUGUGUAGGUUGCUGAAAAUAGGCUUGCAGUGUGACCUACAAAACUGGACUGACAAGAGAGUGCAGCAAAAAAUGGAUUUGUCUUUAAGCUCUUCUUUCACCUAUCCAAAUGAGGCCUUAACAAGCUUGAAUUGCAUGAAUUAUGCUCUCUUGCUCUAUUGGACUACAAAACACACAAAGAGAUGCAAAUGACUUAAAAUUUUAAGAAACUAAGUAAAAGGAGUAAGUAAAUAGGGCAUGUAUAUGUAUGAAAUUAUGAGCUUAACAUAAUACAAAAACUUGUUGCAUCGAUUUAGCUGCACCAAAAUGGAUUCAGCUGCAUAUUCAAUUUGUGAUACUCGCAAGUGCAUGAGUCAUUGGUAGUUUAGCAUAUGUAAGUGCGAGGUCGAUUCCACAGGGAUUGGUGAUUGAAUGAUCCAAUUCAAUUUCCCUACAAACAAGAAAGAAAAGAACAGAAAAUAAGAAAGUAAGAAAAACCAAAAUCAAGCAAAUUAGUUACCAAGAUCAAGUUAGAUUCACGGAUUAAUUCUAGCUAAGGUAUGAUUAAGCCAUGGUGUAUGGUUCUAACUUUAUAUUCUUAAUUCCAUAAUUUGAUCAUCUGUUGUCUAACCUAAAAUUAAGCAUUAGAAAUCCAUUAAGCAUAGAAGAAUAUUUUAAACAACAAAGUAUGUAUCUAAUCUCUGUUGUCGAAUGUCCAUACAUACUCUUCCUAUUCAUAGUUCAAUUCGAAUUAAAGCAUGGUGUCUACUCUUAAUUCAAACCAAGAUAGCUAACAUACAAGUUUUAAUAGUGAUCAAUCAUUCAACCAAGCAUAUUAACUUAUAAGCAUAAUGAAUAAGAACCAGAAUCCGUAAUCCUAAUCAAACUUGAAAACUUAAGAAAAGAAUUUACAUUACAAUGAAAAAUAAUUUACAAUUAAGAAGGAAAAGGGUUUUGUACAACAAUUGAGAACAUUAAAGAAAAACUUAGAGAAAUUGAGAGAGAGAAGGGAAAGGUGUUUGAGAACUUGGAGAAUUUGAGGAGAGAAGGGAAAGGUGUUUGAGAACAUGGAGAAUUUUUGAAGGAAAGAGAGGUUUUUGAAGAAUUUAGAAGAAGAGAAGGGGGAGAAAGUGUUUGAGAAAGAGAAGGGAGAAGAAGAGAAGGGAGAGGAGGAGAAGAAAGAGAAUGAGAAGGGAGAAGGGAGAGGAGCUCUAGAGAGGUGUUUGAGAGCUCCCCUCCUUGGGGUGUGUUUGAAGACUUGGGGAACCUCACUAUUUAUAGGCAUGGCAUUAGGUUUUUCAGAUUAUACAAUUGAGUUCACUAACUACACCCAUUUCACCUAACACACAAUUGAAUUUGAAAACAAUUCUUCUUCUCUUUAGACUUAGUGCUGCAGCUCCAACUUCAUCUUCUUUUCUUUCUUUUGGCUACUACAAAACUCCACUCCAAUUAUAAGUAAAGAAUCUGCUUCACCUAAUUUCCCCACAAUCAAUAACACCUCAUGCUUAGGUCAGAAUGACCAAGCACACUUAGCUCAUACUUAGGUCAGCAUGACCUGCAACUUCAAGUGCUCAUGAAUUGGGCUUCCCUUAAGCAAAUGAUGACUUUGAGACCUCCAUCUUGAAGAUCAGAAUGUCAUCUUUCCAACCACAUGUUAUUUGGGCCAAUCCAAGGUCGAAGGAAGAAGUUAAGGCCGAAACAAAUUGCAAACUCAUUUGGCAGAGUACAUAAACUUCAUCCUGAGCAUGGUUCUGUGUUUGAUGGGUGACGAACCCCAGAGUUAUCCAAUGGGGCUGCAUUUUGGAUAUGUUAUAAUAGACACCCAUUGGAACAACUUCCAUGAAGGAUGUUGCCUCAUCCGAGCUGUGUAGGUUGCUGAAAAUGGGCCUACAGUGUGACCUACGAAACUGGACUGACAAGGGAGUGCAGCCAAAAAUGGAGUUGUCUGUAAGCUCUUCUUCCAUUCAUCUAAAUGAGGUCUUAACAUGCUUAAAUUGCAUGAAUUAUGCUCUCUUGCUCUAUUGGCCUACAAAACACACAAAGAGGUGCAAAUGACUUAGAAUUCUAAAAAACUAGGUAAAAUGAGUAAGUAAAUAGGGCAUGUAUAUGUAUGAAAUUAUAAGCUUAACAGGUUUCAUUUUCCUUUCCCAUGGAAAACCAAGGUAGACAUUAAUUAUACUUUUUAAUGACCAAUCUGCCCUUAUUAACAAUUAAAAAUACAAAGACAAACAUUAAUUACAUUUUUUUGCAUGCAGAUUUCUAAUUUAUGGGUCUAAUUGGAAAACUAAAUAAAGUUUGUUUCCAUUCCAUGCACAAACCAAACAUGGUAUAGAAUAAAAUGCAUUUUACUAGUUCCUUUCCCAGUAUUACUAAAUAUGGAGAAAGAAGUUACAGACGUGCGAGUUAAGCUAGUUAGUCACAUUAUAUCGAGAAAAAAAAAAAUUUCCAUUUCCCAUUCCCCGGGAAAAACUAAACCACUGCCAACUAAUAUGUAGAGUAGUCGAAUGCUAUCCUUCCCCCAGAAUUCUUUAUAGGGUAAAGCAAAGGGUUGACGGCAUUGAGCUAUAAAUGGAAUGGAUACACCAGUCAUCGGUUACAAAGUUGAAUCACGUUUAUUAGAGCGAUGAUGCUGUGCGGGGUAAGCAUGGGCGGACAGAUCCCUCAAGUCUCUCGUGAACAUUCUGUCUUGUUAUGGUCACCGUUCAACACCUGGGAGGGAGCCAUGCAAGUUCUGGUAUUUUCUUCUAUUUCCAGUGCUAUCUGACUCUGUCUGAUCUCAUCACUCUUAUUAUCCCUUGUUUUCCUUCUGAUCUGGGUGGGCCUUAGUUCACCUGCUUGUAUAUUCAUCUGAGCCCAUUUUAUUUUUAUUUAUAUAUUAUAUAUAUACAAUCCCGAUCUCUUGGACCACAGGAGUCCAAGAGAUUGUGGUCACCCACCGUUGAAUUUUAAUCCAAUGGUUCAAAAUUUUUUUUUAAAAAGAGUGAAAGAGUGAGUGAACCGUUGAAUUUACAUCCAACGGUGAGUGACCACAAAUCUCUUGGACCCUUGUAGUCCAAGAGAUCAGGAUUGUAUAUAUAUAUAUAUAUAUAUAUAUAUAAAAUAAAUUAUGUCUUCUGAAUUUUUGUAAAAUACUUAUUUGUCCAUUAAGGGGAAGAAAAACAUGGUGGCUCACAAAAGUAUCUCACAAUUGCUUAAACAACACAUACAACAAAGCACAGAGAUGGUAACACAGGAGUGGUUAAAAAAUAAGGCUACUUCUUUUCCUGACAUAAAAAAAAAAUCUCUACAACUGGAAUAGCAGUAAGCAGUGAGCAUUUUGAGCUUUUUAUAUGACUACUGGGAAGAUGGCUUCUGCUUGAACCAAUCUUUAUUUCUGAAUCUUUGGAGACCUAAAGUUUGCACAGAACCCACACACAGAAAUUUAAUUAAUUCUUUGAGAAAAAUGUCAUAAUCCACACUAUAAGAGCACUCGAAAGAUAAUCUUGUGAACACUAUAAAUAGUUUUAAAACUAGAAAACAUAAGACAUGUAUGAAUUGCCAGAGAGAUACAAUGACCGAACCUGUCUUAAUUAUGAGUUUAUGACCAACAUUCUACUACAACUAUCAUGGAAUAUGCAUUUUAUGUCAAUAACAGGGCUCCAUAAUGUGACAUAACGAUAGAUUAUCCAUAAUUUUAAACAGAAUGCACACCUACUACCAGUACAGAAUUACAUUGUAACAAAGUAACAACAGCAAUAUCAGCUAUAUAGUUUAUUACUUUGGUCCUGAAUCAAUCAAGCCGUUACAUAAGUAGUCGAGAUUACCAUGAAUUCAACUCAAAUCUACAACAAAGUAUGCACUUUCUCAUAAUAUAUGGAGAUAUGAAGUUCAAAGCACUGACUGGAAACUGAAUCUAGAACGAUUUCAUGGUGAUGGUUUAAUUUUGAAACCAAUCAAUGUCAAGAAUACAUACAUUAUCUGAAAUCUUCUAAGGAUAGUAAAUAAAACCAGCAUUCAAUGAUUGCAAAUAAUUUGAUUUUUAACUUCACAUCCACACAAACCACAUUGAGAUGGACUUAAACCAAAAAGGGAAAAGCGAAAAAUGAUUGCUCAAUUAAGGAAAGAGCUAAAGUUACUUCACAUCAAGGUCCUACAUUAAAUCUAAGGACAAGAAAAAAAAAACUAAGAAAAAUAUGUCCACUGAGAUUAAGAUCUGCAGAGUAACACUCUUGAACGAAACAUUCAUAUAGAAGGAUUGUGCUGGCAGGGAUAAAAUGUUGUCAGGCCUCCAUUAUGCUCAAUCCUAGGCGAAGACAAUUCUUUGGCCCUUGAUACAUUACUUGACCCAAAGGAGUAUAUGCAAGGCAUCUUUUUAGCCGUCCAAUUUUCUCUUUGCCUUUUUCAUCUUUGCAUGAAAACUCAUAUGCCCUCCUAAGGAAUUAUAAUUAGGGAAUUCUCUCUUACAGAUCUUGCAUGUGUAUUUUACAUCACAGCGGCCAUUCUUCAAUGAGCUAGGACCAAAAGUUUGGUUCUUUUCUGAACUGUGACAAUUAGACCGAGGAGCUUGGGUUGAUGUUUCUACUUGGUUUUCCACUGGGACAGGCACAUUUGAUGUAAUUCCUGUACCAUGGCUAACAGCCUGAAGGUGGCUUAGACCAUGAUUUAUGUCCCCAUUUGCACUACCCCCAAAUUUGUAAGCCACUUGAUUCGACCGAACAGACAAGCCAUUUUGUAAGGAUGGUGAAUCAGUGAAGCUAGAAGAUCUGAUUUCCUGGUUUCUCACAGGGUGACAGCCACUUGAUCCUAAAGAAGAUGAGGAUCCAGAGCUAGAAAUUAGACCGAGGAUAGUAAAGUGGAAUCCCGAGCAGACAUGAUCUUUGAUGAUGUAAUCAUCUGAAUUUAAUCGAAAUGCAUUUGAUGAAGUACAGAAGUGAGUUAAUUGUUUACUAGGAGGGAUGUAGACACUUGGGCCAAACCCAGAUGUAUUAGGAAAUCUGGGAGCAUGGGUUGGAUUGUUUUUCAAACACAAGGACUUGGUUGAACUAAUGGACGGUGAAUUGGUAGAGUUAACGGCAUGAGACUCUUGAUUUCUUAAAGGAAAAUUAAUAUCUACUCCCUUCCAAGAAUAGCUAGCAGAGGUGGGCGCAUAAACAUGUUGAUUCACCUCAGGAAAGGCACCCUCAAAUUCAGAUUUAAGUACACCAGUUGAUCUAGGAAAGUGGACCUUGUGGUUACCUAUGGAAGUACCUUCUUGUGGAUUGACUACUGGAACAAAGUUGGCUAUUGAAGUCCCCAUUUCCAUGAUUGGACAAGAAUCCACUUGAUUUCCAGCACAAGGUCUGAUUGUCUCCAGGUCAUAAGAAUUUUCAAGUAUAUCUGGAGUAUGAAGCUGUUGGUCUUGCAAGAAAACCAAGUUGUUGCUUUUGUCACUCCAUCGUGGGUGGAUAGGAGAAGAGGCAUUUGGCAGUUCAAAUUCUUUCCCACAUGGAUUAGCCACAUCAAACCAUGCUUCAUCAAAUGGUUGAAUAGCAUUGUCUUGUUGGCCGUCCAUAGAGAAGACAGAACUCACUGAUCACUCAUAGAAGAACAGAAAGUUAUUUGGUUAUCUUUGAGAAUUGGAGGUAAAGUAUCGGAAGAACAACUGGAAUAAAGGAUAAAAUCUUACACAGCCUUACUUCUAUCCUUUUAACCUUUAGAGAGAGAGAGAGAGAGAGAGAGAACGCUUCUAACAAUUCACAUCUAACUUGAUAUGGCCACAAAGCAUGCCAGAUACGAUAAUUAAGAAGAGGUACAAUACAAUGCAUCGCAGUCCAUGUAAGUUCAAGGGCGUACCUGUAAUGGCAAUGCUUGAUUUGGACAAAUCAAAGACUCUAGUCAUUUUCAUUUGACAUUCCCUAACCUGAACCAUACAAAACUUGACAAAUGCAUAAUAUCUCUAGCCUUGAAUGCACUCGUUCACAGUUGAGAGGACUGGGAUAGGUAAAAUAAUAAAUGAGAAAGAUUUUGGCAAGGCCCAGAUAGCCUCUUAAUGAAUAGAGAAUCCCAAUUACCAAAUAUGAAUUAGCUAUGACUUAUAAAGAUAAGACUCUGACACGUCAAUUAGGAAAGUAUUCUGUAUCGACCAAAGUCGCGGACCUUUGACAAAAGUAUGUACGUUACUAAGCAAAAGAAUAUUUUUGAUGAAAAACGGCAAAGUAAAAGAUGCAUUGGAGACAGUAAUGGCCGGUUACUGCCGGUUUUUCUUUUUGGCCAAAUAACAUGCAUAAUUCUCAUAGUAUUCUUGAUUUCUACUUUGUUCCAUGUAGUUUCAAUUUGGCAAUAAAGACAUUAGCUUACUUAAAUGGAAAUCAACAACAAUGCAUUAAAUUUGUCAAGGAUGAAAAGAUAACGAGAGCAAUACAUUAGCACUUGCAGGGAUAACAUAGACAAUUUGGGUCAGGCAGAAAACACUUCCAUUUGCUAAACACGUCAUCUUUCGGUCAACUCGUUCGACAGACUUAACGAAUUAGAGUCGAUUGCAAACUUGAUUAAACCAGAGGCCCUUAAUUGCAAAUAUUGGAACUACAUGGACCAAGGUGAAAAAUUGGAGAAACUACAAGGACUAUAAAUUUCAUUUCACCCUUCCCUUUUCUUUUUCCUAGGUGUAUAUAUAUAUAUAUAUAUAUAUAUAUAUAUAUAUAUAUAUACUCUCUCUCUCUCUCUCAAACACAAAAGUCUAAGUUAUCUUCAGGUUUCACUUCAAUGACCAAAAUCUAUAACUUCAACGAACAACAUAUAGUGUAAUAUGACUAUACAGACAUAUAAAUCCAUCAUACAAUAAACAUUUCAUAGAUCAGAGGCCAAUAAACUUGUCAACAAACUAAACCAAAUGGGAUUUGUAUGUGUGCCUCAAGUGAGUUCCACAAUUAUUUUAAAUUUUCUUUUCUAUUGUCUUAAUCAAGGGAAAAUAAGCCAACUAUUUAUCUUACAACUACAAAAAAACAUGUCACACUUGCAUCUUAUAAAUAACUAAAAUACAGAUAACCUAGCGAACUGUAUAAUUACUUAAUAAAAUAUCUAAUUCUGUUUGAGUUAGGUCGGGUUGGGUACCCAACCUCUUAAGCCAAGAAUCGAAUUUAAUUGGUUGGUUCUAGAAUCUUUAGACCCAAACUGAAGCAAAAAACUAAUAAGCAAACCAAACGAAGGCAAAUAUGCAGUUUGGCACAAGUCUUUGGGUACUGGAGAACCAAAUUGUGUACCUAGACAAGACAACAAUAUAAAUGGAAAAAAGCGGCAUGACAAGUGAACAAUAUAAAUAGAAUGAUGGAAACAAAGCAUGCGAAAACUUGAGAGGCACUUUACAAUGAACAAAAACCAAAAAACCAAAAAACCAAAAAAACCAAAAAACAAAAAACAAAAAAAGACAAACAAAACAAAAAAUUAGCAAAAAGAGUUGCCAUAUAUGUUUGAAACCAACCAUAUCUCAGACACAGUGAGAAUAUGACUAAAUAAUACAUUGAAAAUAAGUUAAAAAUAUUGAUUUCCAGUUGGGGUAAGAAGAAGAACCCAACCGAAAGCCCUUCACUUAACAGAAAGUUUGCUGGCUAUUUCCAGUCUACACUAAAUGAUUGCAAGAUAUAGAAAGAUUAUAUCCUCCAAAAUAAAAGAAAGCUUAUAAAUUAUGUAAGACAAUCAUUGAAUAUUAAAAUGAAGCAAAAGAUCUUGGUUACAUUAAACUGCGAUUAUUUUGUCUAGAAAGACAUUAUGAAUAUAUGAUGACUUCCAAAUAGUUUUAAUUACAAGCAAUUCUUCAACUCCUACCGCAUAAAUGCCAUAAAGAAUGAAAACACAUAUUUGAUCCUUUUGACCAAAACCUUUAAGAUUAUGAAAUCAAUUCACAUACUAUAUGAAGAUGCUUGAAAUACUAUCCAAACACACCAAGACGAAAUUCUUAUUUAAUUAUAGAAAGAGGUACCAUGGGAAAUAAUAAAACUAAAAUUUAGCUUAGAGUAAGCCAAAGUGGGAUUAAACAGAGACAACAAAAUCACUAGUAAGUAAAGAUUAGCCAUAUCCUCGUUUGUAAUGCUUACUACGACCCUAACCCAUUUUUGUAAUGCAUAUGAAACUCAAAUUUACAUCAGCUAUGUUCUAAUAUAUUCUUUGGUCUAUGUAGCUUGAGUGUUAUCAAAUAAUGCUAAGAUCACUCCAACCUUUUUUGUAGAGAGCCAGCUGGAAGAACUACAUGAGAAGUUUAUAUCUUCAUUUUUGCAAAUUUAUGAUAGAACUAUUGGGUCUUGGACCCCCUUUGUAACCAAAAAAAAAAAUGAAAAAAACUUAUCAUGGAAUUAUCAUAUUUUCCCAUUUGCAUUCCAUAUAACCUCUAGUGUUGUGUGUUUCAUAAGAAAUAAAAAUAUGCAUCCCUUACUCAUCUGGAUUUUUUUUCUUUUGGUUCAUUAAAAUUCUUUAUGUACUAAUAUAUGUUCAAUUCAGUUUUCAUUAAACAUGAGUAUUUUCAGUUAGUUGUACGGAUGCACAGGUUUUAUAUUCUGAACAUAUAUUUCCAAGAUUUGAUACAAAAGAACAGAACAGAUUAAAAAAGUGAAAAUUAAUGUUUCAUGGUGGAUACAUGAGUUAGUUAGAAAAUAUGAGCUCAACCACAAGUGAUGGGUAAUAAGGUUCAAGUCUUGAAGAUCAAACAAGCCAUAACUCGAUAUCACCAAUGAAAAAAUUAUGGAAUUAACUACUCUAAUUUCUUUCCUAAUGAUCCUGGAAUAAUGCAGUAACAAAAAGACUUCAAAAAUAUAAAUAACAUUGAAUUUAACUAAAACUGAAAACUGGAGGAAGAUUUUUAACAGUAGAAGCAUACCACAAAAGAGAAAAUCUACUCUUUAUCAACCUUGUGGAACGGUGGUGCCCCUUGCCCUGGAGGGAGGACACCCUCUAUGUCCCUUGAUCAUUUAAGAAAAACAAAAGGAAUUAAUUUCCAAAGUUGAAUAUUUGGUAGAUUAUUAUGGACCCUCUAUGUUGUACCCUUCAGCGUCAAGCAGAACCAUACCUGGACAUUAUUCAUAAAACUAUCUAUUUCAAAAUGAAGAUUGAGUAGCUCUUGAAAAGGGCAAAUGAGGAAACAGUAUUGAAUAUGUCCCCAAAACAAAGAAUAUGUUCAAUUAGGAAUUAGGUUUAAUACAACAACUAAUGUGAGAAAAAGUACAAGGAGCUAGGUUCAGUCCCACCACCGAAAAAUCUGAUGUCAAAAUUUCUAAAAAUAUGAAUGAAAAAGAGAGGGCUUGGGGAUUAAUUAUGUGAGGGCUGGUGAAGGAGAGAAUAUUCUCUCAGGAAAUAAGAGUUGUCACUCAAUGCAACACCCUGAAAUGCUAAUAUAACAUAUCAAUUAACUUUGUUCCAUUCCCUGAUAAAGAAAAUAAUUACGGUUUUCAGGUUGCAUAAUAAAUAAAUAAAUAAUAUACAAAAUUUGGUACAGAGAGUUCCAUUUACCAUGUUUUACCCAGCAACUGAUUGGAAAUGCCACUUUUCUCAAUUAACCCAUUCUACAGCAGUAAAUAAUCUUUGUUUUGUGCAACCUCCACGGGUACAAACAAAGAGAAAUAGUAUUUGGUCAUAUCCAAGAAAUUCGCCCCCCAACCAACCACAUCGUAAGCAGCCAAAACAUGGUUCAUCCCAGUGUGGUUCAUGCAAAUCUCUGUCAAAUAGCAGCACAGUCAUCACGGUAAAGCAAUAAGCAUGGAGAAACAGAAAGAUACUGACCAGUGAACAAGAAAUUGCCCUCGACCCUAGAAGCAGCUCCAAGAGAAGAAAUUCUGAUCUGAUUUUGUGGCUUGAUGUGCAUUUUUUAGGGAACCCAAGCAUUUCAAAUGGAUUUCAGGCAGGCCUCGCUGGGCCAGAAUUUAAAGUUACGAUGCAUUGAUCUGGGCCUAGGCCGACCAAUUGCACUAAAAAAGAUCUCAAUUAAACGGUAACAUCUGGUUUUCUGAUGGAACCCAAAUGUGAAAUACUAAAUGGAGAGCAGAUGGCCUCGUCGACCAAAAACAUGAGUUUUAUUUGGUCUGGUGAAUACUUUGAUGUAAAUACCCUUUUAAAGGUGGUCAUGUGACCAAAUUGGUGGAUUUGAGGACUAAAUGAGAACUUUUAAAUGUUUAAGGACCAGUUAUGAUUAAAAAAAGAAUAAUAUAUAAAAAAACUUGAAACAUUUUCCAACACUAAAAGGAAUAAUACCGUCAUUGCUGACAUUUACAUGGCAAAUCUAACUCACUGCUUUAGUUACUUGUAAUCCCACAUGCAACAAAACACAAGUACUGCACUGAGCACAUAACAUAGGGGUAACAAGCAUUUAGGUCAAAGAAGUCUACUCAUUUUCUGGAUAUAAAGAAAAAAACUUUACCACUAGAAUAGUGGGAGAGCUAAAUAACACUACUCACCUAAGCUAGUGACCUGGUUCAACAUUUUUCCGACUAUUCACUCUUCUCUCAAGAGCAUUUGAGCUUUCUAUCUGAGACUGGGAAGCUGGCUUCUGCUUGCUCCGACCUUUAUAUUUCAACAUGGAUGACGUAUGUUUGUGUUUAAACAUACACAAUUAAGUGAAUUCUCUGAAAAAGAUGUAUGAAUCCACAUCAGUGCGUUACUUCAGUCACCUAAUCUCAUAAACACUAUAGAUGGUUUUAAAACUUCAAAAAGUAUAAGACAUGUAUGGAAUCUCAAGGAAAUGCAAUGAUUUGUUUAUGUAAAUUGGAGUAAAAAUAAAAACUACUUCCCCAGACAAUGGUAUGCAGUUUCAGAGAGACAGUCUUAAUAUUGUUACUUAGCAUUAAGGUCCAGAACUAAAAUCAUGUCAUUCUAAAAUAAAUCCAAAGACAAAAGAAAAAUGAUUGCUGAGAUUAAAAACCGCUCACUGCGUUGGUUAUUGACUUCUUAUAAAUAAAAAAACAAAGGUUUUCAUUAAAUAGAAAAGAAAAUUACCACACAGGGGACAAGGUGUUCCCUAAACUACUGCCAACUAAAACAGAAAACCAAAAAACCAAAGAAAUAGAUUUUUUAUAUAAAGAGCUAACAUACACAGCACCCAUAAGAAUAGAGAGACUGAAUUGUGGCAGUUCUCCAUUCUGAAUUGCAUAGUAAGAGGCUUGUUCUCUCCCCAUAACUCUGUGGGAUGAAAACAUCCAUUUCACUAUCUUAUCAGGAGUAUGAAUUGAUUUCCUACAUGGUUGGUAAACAUUUGAGGUAAUUCCUGUACUAUGCCUAACACUCUGAAGGGGGUUUGGAAAAUGAUUUAUGUCUCCAUCACUACCUGAUAUAUGUUAGUCUAACCGGAAAAUAAGCCACUUGAUUCCACUGACCAAGUGAGACAUUUCUGAGAAAUGCUGGUGAAUCAGUAAUAAAAUAUCUAAUUUCCUCGUCAUUCACAGGAGGAUAGCUACCUGAUCCAAAAGAAUAUACGAGCUCUCAGAGCUACAAAAGUAGACAUAAUAAUUGAUGAUGCAACCAUCUGAAUCUCACCGACCUGCAUUUGGUGAAGUAAAGAUUGUAGGGGUUAGAUAUUUGAGCCAAAUCAAGGAUUAUUAGUGAAUCUAGAAGCAUGGGUUGGAUUGUUCACCAGAUACGAUGAACUAUCUGAACUUAGAGUUAACAGUAAACUCUUGAUUUCUCAGAGAGGAAUUGAUGGCAGGGGUGGGCAUAGAAACAAGUUGCUUUUCCUCGAGAAAGUGUACCAUAUGGUUACCAAAAGAAAUACCUUUUUGCAUAUCGACUGUCGGAACAUAGUUGGUGAUUGCAGGCACCAUUUUCAAAGGUGGAAAAGAAUCCACUACGUUGCCAGAACAUGAGGAGCUGGUCAUCACUAAUUCAUAAUUGUUUACAAGUAUAUCAGGCUGUUGGUCUUCCAGGAAAACCAAGUUUUCAUUGUCACUCCAUUGUGGGUUGAUAGGAGUAGAGAUAUUGGGAAGUUCAAAUUCCUUCCCACAUGAAUUGGCUACAUCAAACCAUGCUUCAUCAAAUGGUUGAAGAGCAUUGUGUUGUUUGCCGUCCAUGGAAGAAGAGAAAGCUCGUUGUUUACUUGAAGAAGAAAAGAUGACUAUUUGGAGGUGAAGUAUUCAAAGUACAACUUCAGUCAAGGAUGAAAUUGUUACAAAGCGUUGCUUCUCUCUUUUUACUCUUUAAAAUUUACACAGAGAGGGGAGGGGGGGGGGGGGGGGGGAAAAAAAAAAAAAAAAAAANNNNNNNNNNNNNNNNNNNNNNNNNNNNNNNNNNNNNNNNNNNNNNNNNNNNNNNNNNNNNNNNNNNNNNNNNNNNNNNNNNNNNNNNNNNNNNNNNNNNNNNNNNNNNNNNNNNNNNNNNNNNNNNNNNNNNNNNNNNNNNNNNNNNNNNNNNNNNNNNNNNNNNNNNNNNNNNNNNNNNNNNNNNNNNNNNNNNNNNNNNNNNNNNNNNNNNNNNNNNNNNNNNNNNNNNNNNNNNNNNNNNNNNNNNNNNNNNNNNNNNNNNNNNNNNNNNNNNNNNNNNNNNNNNNNNNNNNNNNNNNNNNNNNNNNNNNNNNNNNNNNNNNNNNNNNNNNNNNNNNNNNNNNNNNNNNNNNNNNNNNNNNNNNNNNNNNNNNNNNNNNNNNNNNNNNNNNNNNNNNNNNNNNNNNNNNNNNNNNNNNNNNNNNNNNNNNNNNNNNNNNNNNNNNNNNNNNNNNNNNNNNNNNNNNNNNNNNNNNNNNNNNNNNNNNNNNNNNNNNNNNNNNNNNNNNNNNNNNNNNNNNNNNNNNNNNNNNNNNNNNNNNNNNNNNNNNNNNNNNNNNNNNNNNNNNNNNNNNNNNNNNNNNNNNNNNNNNNNNNNNNNNNNNNNNNNNNNNNNNNNNNNNNNNNNNNNNNNNNNNNNNNNNNNNNNNNNNNNNNNNNNNNNNNNNNNNNNNNNNNNNNNNNNNNNNNNNNNNNNNNNNNNNNNNNNNNNNNNNNNNNNNNNNNNNNNNNNNNNNNNNNNNNNNNNNNNNNNNNNNNNNNNNNNNNNNNNNNNNNNNNNNNNNNNNNNNNNNNNNNNNNNNNNNNNNNNNNNNNNNNNNNNNNNNNNNNNNNNNNNNNNNNNNNNNNNNNNNNNNNNNNNNNNNNNNNNNNNNNNNNNNNNNNNNNNNNNNNNNNNNNNNNNNNNNNNNNNNNNNNNNNNNNNNNNNNNNNNNNNNNNNNNNNNNNNNNNNNNNNNNNNNNNNNNNNNNNNNNNNNNNNNNNNNNNNNNNNNNNNNNNNNNNNNNNNNNNNNNNNNNNNNNNNNNNNNNNNNNNNNNNNNNNNNNNNNNNNNNNNNNNNNNNNNNNNNNNNNNNNNNNNNNNNNNNNNNNNNNNNNNNNNNNNNNNNNNNNNNNNNNNNNNNNNNNNNNNNNNNNNNNNNNNNNNNNNNNNNNNNNNNNNNNNNNNNNNNNNNNNNNNNNNNNNNNNNNNNNNNNNNNNNNNNNNNNNNNNNNNNNNNNNNNNNNNNNNNNNNNNNNNNNNNNNNNNNNNNNNNNNNNNNNNNNNNNNNNNNNNNNNNNNNNNNNNNNNNNNNNNNNNNNNNNNNNNNNNNNNNNNNNNNNNNNNNNNNNNNNNNNNNNNNNNNNNNNNNNNNNNNUGGGGGGGGGGGGAGAGAGAGAGAGAGAGAGAGAGAAACCGCUCAUUUAAAUUUACAUCUACCUAGAUAUGGCCACAAAUCCAAUACCAUAUAAUUAAGAAAAGAUAUAAUACAAUACACUCAAGUCCAUUUAAGUUUGAGGGCAUACAUGAACUGACAAUGUUUGAUUUGCCCAAAUCAAAGAGUCAAGUCAUUUUCAUUUGACAUUCCCUCUCCUAAACCAUACAACACUUGGCAAAUGCUUAAUAUCUAGGCUUGAGCACACUCAUUCACAAUUGAGAGGACUGGGAUAGGUAAAAUAAUAAUGCGAAACAAUUUCGGCAAAGCCCAGAUGGCACCUUAAUAUGGGUAUAGAAAAUCCCAAUUACUAGAUAUGAAUAAGCUAGGACUUCCAUAUAAAGAUACAACUUCCAUAUACAUAUAUGAAUUAGUCUAGUAAUAGCUGGUUGCUAUUGUUUUUUUCUUUUUGCCAAAUGACAUUUAUAGUGCCUGUAGUUCUCUUGAUUUUUUUACUUUGGUCCGUCGUUUUCUUCAUAUCAAGAUAUUAAGUAUUCAUAACAAGAUAUACUACAUGAUCACAAAUUUACAAGAUAUAAAAAGACUAAUAUCCUCCAAAAUAAAGUUAAGAUAUAAAUCAUGUAUGUCAAUCACUGAAUAUUAAAAUGAAGCAAAAGAUGUUUGUUACACUAAACUGCGACUUCAUUUUUCCAAUAAAGUAAUUAUAAAUGUACAAGGACUUUCAGAUAGUUCUAAUUAGCAGUAAUUCAGGGUUUGCUCAACUCCUGUCAAAUAAAUGCCAGAAAGAAACAAAGGAAAUGAAAUCAGAUAUUCAUCGUUUUGACUGAAACCAUUUCAGAUUAUGUAAUAAAACCAAACAUUAAGCAUAAUAAUAAUAAUAAUAAUAAUACCAGUAGUAGUAGUAGUUAUGAAAGAGUUAUCAUACUUUCUGAUAUAUAAAAAUUUAAGAUAUUUUCCCAUAUACAUUCCAUCUAACCUCAAGUAAUCUAUGUUACAAAAGAAAAGUGCAGCCCUUUCCCAUCUUGAAAUUUGGUUCAUUUUGGUUCUUGAAAUUCCCUAUACAGUCCUAUAUGUUCAUUUUAGUUUUCAUUAAAAAUGAGCCUUUUAUGAUAUUUGUAUGUAGACAUCUUCUUUUUUUCCAGUAUCUAGCACAAAAGAACAGAAAAGAUGGACAAAAUGGAAAACCCUUUAGGAUGGAUACAUGAGUCAGUUAGAAACUAUGAGCUCAACCACAAGUAAAAGGCAAUGAGAUUCAACAUCUUAAAGUUUAAAGAACCUAUAACUUAAUAUAUAUAUAUAUAUAUAUAAGAUGAAAAGUAUCAAAGAAUUAACUACUCUAUCUUCUUUCCUAAUGAUCUGGAAUAAUGCAGUAACAAACAAAAAACUUUAAAAAUAUAAAUGAGAUUGAAUUGGAAACAAAACGAAACUCGAGAAUUUAACCAAUACGAGCAAACCAUAGAAGAGGAGACCUACUCUUUAUAAGCUUAGGGUUCUCCCUCGCCCUCCGAAAGGGGGAAGUACCAGGUCCAAAUCAUGGAAGCCCUCUAAAACAAAAGAAAUCAAUUUUCAAACUUGAAUGCUUGAUAAAUUAAUAUAGAUUGAAAAUCAAUAAUACUAUCCAGAUGAAUAAAACUAUCCAGAUGAAAAUGAAUAUUGAGCGGCUUCGGAAAAGCACAAAUGAGGAGAAAUUAUGCUCUCAAGAUUUCUAGAACUGUGAAUGAUAAAAAGGGAGCGGUGGUGGGGAGAUUAAUUAUGUGAUGGGGUGAUGAAGGAAGAAAUCAUAGUCAACACUUAAUGCAACACAAAUGCUAGCAUAUAUUUCUUUGCUUUGAAUGGAAAAUAUGUAUACAUGAAUUAUCCUUUUUCCACUCCCUGAUAAAGAAGAUAACAAUGGUGACUUAGUUUCCUAGUUGGAAAAUUUAAAUGAUUGGGUCAGAGAGUUUUCAACCAUUUUGAGCUGUAAGAGAGAGUAUAACUAUGGUGAAUUGGUUAUCUUCCGUUUGACAAACAUAAAUUUCCAUUUACCAUGUUUAAACCCAGCAACUGAUUGUUGCAAAUUCUACUUUUCUCACUCUACAAACACCAAAUAAUAUGAAUUUUGUUACAAAGCACAGACUCAGAAAUAUCAUUUGGGCACAUCACUGAAAGUCCACCCUGUUCAGGUAAACAUGCGUGAAUAACAGUAAAGGGAGUAGAGAGAAGAGAGAUACUGACCAAGAAAUUGUCGUCGACCUGAGAAUCAACUCUAAGAGAAAAAAAAAAUUCAGAUUUUAUUUUGUGGCUUUGAUGCGCGUUUUUUAGGUUGGGCUCUAAAAGAGAUUGACAGGGCCCCAUUUAGAGCUUCAAUGAAAUUUGAUUUAUGUGUUAUUUUUGUUUUUUUAAGUUAUUUUGUUUUAAUAUAUUUUUAUGAUAUGUUAGUUUUUUUUUUUUUAAACAUCUCAUGGAAAAAAAAUAUAUCAAAAUUUUGAAAAAAAAAUAUAGUUGUGUUGUAAAUAAUUAGUUGUGGAGCCCACAUGUUCCCUAGGCUUUGCCGAUAAAAGGGUUCAUCCCUUCAUUGUUCAAUACACAUAAACGAGCCUGAAAAAAAAAAAAAAAAAAAAAAACAGAGAGAGUCUGCAACCAGCAAUCCAAAGCAGAGAGAGAGAAAUACCAAGCGUAGCUGUUAAAACCUACAUAACUCCUUCCUUCAAUCCAUCCUCUUCCUCCUCCCCUUGGGUGGCCCAUGCAGGUCUCCAAAGACAGCAACGACCAAGUUGCCUUGUCAUGGCUGGCGGCCAUUGCAAAAGCCCCAUCCAAGUUGAAAACCGGCGGAACCAGGCCUUGUGGUGCCGCGGGCCUUACCGGAGCCAGACCCGACGACUGCGAGACGGAGUCGUUCUUCACGUCCACGAACUCGGAAUCUUGGUCGCGGAUGAAGGCGAGGAGUUGUCGUCGGCCGAAGCGGAGGCCGUGGUGGCGCGAACGGAUUAGAACAAGUCUUCUUCUUCUAUGCUGUAGCCAGGAGCCACCGUGUUGGCUCCACCACCCUGUGAGUUGUAGUUGUGUUUAUGGAAGGCCUUGACCAGCCCAACACCAACAAUGGUUCCCUCAUCACAGUUUCUUUGAUCAGAAAAUCAAACCACAGAUCUGCAAAGGAAUGGUUCUCAAGUCACAGAUCAGUUUCUUCAGUCACCACCGCGACUGAAACCGAGGCAGAGAUCGAGACAGAAAAAAAAAAAAAAAAAAAAAAAAAAAAAAAAAACGCCGGGGCAGAGACGGCCGUGACCGUGAUCGGGACCGGAGCCACCAUCACAACCGUAGCCCAUCUGCGGAGGCACGCAAGCGGCAGAGGCGCGAGCCGACCACCAAGGACGAGAGCCGUCGUCGUCAGUAGCAGCAGAUGGAGACACCAAGAUGUCAUCUGCUAUCUCUGUAAAGGUGAUAUCAACCAUGCAGACCUUGCCAACACAGCGGCACAGCUUGGCCAGCGUCUAUAGAUCUGGUAGUUUUGGGGUGGUUGCAGUCCCAGACACUGAUGAAACUGGCAGAGAAAGAGAAGAAUAAUGGAGGUGCGUAUUUUGGGAGAAUAGUAAGGCACAGAGUGGAGGUGCCAGAGCAGCAGCGUAACUCAUUGUUCGGGCGACAGCUUCCCACCCAGCGCACUUGCUUAAAGAAAAAGUUUUAAGUGCGCAUGCGUGAACCACUAAAUUAUGAUAAUUAUUAAUAUUAUUACUAUUGCUUGCAAUCUCACAUGGAGGCCACGCCAAAAGACCAAGCAAAAUAAAAGGCAGAGGGGAAUGUGUCGCUUUGCUUGGGCUUUGAUUGCAAAAUUGGUCAGAAGAGAACAGACAGAAAGGAUAAGCUUCCUUUCAUCUUUUCAAUUAUUUCAUUAUUAUUCUUAAAAGCCAAUAAUGGAGGUGGGAGGUGGAGCCAAUGAGCUCAGUCAAGCAAACCCACCGAAAGGAUAAGCUUCCUCUCAUCUUUUCAAUUAUUUCAUUAUUAUUCUUUAUUAUUUAAAUUGAAUAUUAAGAUGCAGGUCUAUAGUGCAGGUACAUAAUUAUAUUAUUUUAAUAUUAUAUCAUUAUUAAAGGUGUGCAGGGAUACAGCAAAGCCGAUCGGCCAAUAUCAUAGCGUUAUCCCCACUACUGUGAUAUCAUGUCAUUGUCGAAAGACAAUCACUCGUCUCUGCUUUUUACGUCAUGGAAGGGCAUGUAAGUAAACUGCUAAUUUGAAAUUCAAUUAAUAGGCAGGUACAAUUAUACUUACAGCUAUAGAAAAUGCCUGUUUGCGGGUUUAUCGUCCAUACCAGUAAUUUACUUAUCAGUAAUUUAUUUUAUGGAUUAGUUGUGCUGUAUGAUGAGUUUUUACAGUAUACAGAUCAGAACAAGAAGUUCCUUGAUCCUCGUCAUACAAUUACAUCAGGACUUGAAGAUCCUUGAUGAUGAUAUUAAUAUGAGAGCUGGCAGUCUCUCCUGUACUAUAUUUAUAGACAUGUGAUCGGACUUAAGAGUCCUUGAUCCCUGACAUGUGAAUAAGGACCUGGGUUCCUUAAUGAUGAAACAGUACCGUAUUGGUUAAUAGUGCCAUACACAUGGAUGAUAACUGUACUGACAGAUGUACUGUACACAUGAAUAGUACUGGAUAUGAAUAAUACUAUUCACAUGAAUAGUGACGUAUGCAUAAAUAUUAACCAUUUUGGGUGAACCGUCACUAUAUACAAAAGGGAACCUGCAGUUCCUUAAACUCAUGGAUGAGCAAUUAAAUGAGAUGCCAGAAGUUCCUCAAAAUAUGGACAAUUAUGUAAGGACUUCAAGUCCCGAAAUAUGUACAGAAAGUUGUAAACAUGUCCAUUUGAAAAGGGCAAAUAAAUUCUGAGUUUGCGCCCAGGCCACAAGUUCCGGGCUACCAUGCGUUGAAAUAUGAAAUUUGGAGAAUCGAUGUGGUUAUUUGAACCUAUAAGGCACAAGGUUCAAAACCGUCAUUUUGAAAAGACGUAAAAACCACAAGUGCAAGUUUAAGAAUGUGCGCAAUUAUUAUUACAGGAACAUACAACAGAUAGAUUUUUCCACCUGCAAUGAAGGUGCAGGCCCUGUAAAAUCUAUACAAUUACAUUAUGUUCUGGAAGCCUCUGAAGGAUGAGUACGGCGCCUCUUAAGCUUAGCCAUGAGCUUCUCGUGGUCUCCCAAAAUUCUUUCAUUGGAGACCUGCAGCAUGUCUAGCCUUCUCAGUGUAUCAACAGAGUAUGAACUCACCAGUUUCAACAAGGCAUUAUUCUCUCCUUUAAGUUUCUCAACCUCCUGUUGAGACUCAUGAAGCAUUCUUUGGAGAGACGAAUUUUCAGUAGCUAACCUCUCAACCUCGUUUGCUCUGGCACGCAAACGAUCUGCCAUGUUAGAAACAGAAACAGCACUCCGAAUGCUGAAAGCCAUUGAGUCAUUAAUAGCCUCUUCCUCUGAUCUCCCUGUCAACAACAUUUCAUCCAUUGGAGUAAUGAAAUUCCUAGCUACUGUGACAGCAGUAGCAUCAUUCAUCAUCACAGAAUCAUUAACUGUGAGAUGACGAUUUUUGGAUACAAAGGAUGGACGCCAAACUUCGGCGUCACUGGUUGUUGUGGGAGCAUCAUUUAAAUUGAAAUAAUUUGGGCAGGAAGAAGAGGAAGCCAUUUUAAAGAAGGUUUCGAAGAAAGGCUCAGGAAAACUAAAGUUUCAGAAAAUGAAGGAAGUUAAGGUUGAAACGCAGUUGCUCCAAUCAAGGUUUGCAAAGGCAAUAUCUAUAAGAGGAAAUAUGGCUACUGUUUUUCAGGAUCCCAAUAUCUUCUCGGAUCCCCAUAUUUCUCCUUUUCUUUCCUAGAGUCCAAAACUUCACGUGGCCUCUAAUAAUGCCUGUCGGCACUUUCGGCGUUUUCAAGCAUUAUUUUCAAAGCCGAUCUUGCUUUAUGGAUUUCACGGAGCUACUUUUUCAAAAGCAUCCCGGGAAUCUCGCAAUUUUCCUAUGGUUAAUUUGAAAUUCACCGGUUCUACCUAUUCAUUAUAUUUGUGUAUAAAUGUGUUACUAAUGAAAUUUUCUUUGCAGAAGACAUCCAGUUUACUCCAUAUCUAGUUAUGCGAUAUUUACUUGUUUUUCUUAUCAGUGAGCACUUAAUGUGCCCGAGAAGCAAGACUAUCUCUGAUCAUCCAUUCAGGAAGCAAGACUAUCCCUGAUCAUGUUUCUGCAAGAUCAGGGAAUUGUAGAGGCGGCCUUAUGCUCUAAUCUCCUGAGGUCCUUCUAAACUAGGGGAUAUGAGAGCUUAUUGUCUGCUUCCACCAGCUUCCUUCCUUGAUUGCUUACCUUACCUUGCAAUCAAUAUCACAAUCUUUGUAUCUUUUCUUUCUUUUUAUAACUCUCUGUUCAUAAGAGAUUUUAUUUCUUUAGAAUGAACAUCUGAAGAAUGAAUCCAUGCAGUGAUCCUAACUCUGAGAGUUAUUUGUUUUUGACAGAGAAAAGAAUUGUGAUUUUUGCUCUUGCAGGAUAUAACAAGACCAUCAAGCGCUACAUUAUAUUUACUGGGCUGAUAUGAGCUUGAAUGAUACUUGAGAAAAGUUUCUCCCACCUAAGGAUGUAAGCAAUACUUGUGUUAUUUUAUGCUUAUAUACCUAUUUGAUAUUUUAUCUUGAAAGGUAACCAAAUGGGGAGAUAAGUCCGUUCCAAAAGAAUGACUUCUAUGUAUCCAUGAAUUAUUAAUGCAAAUUUUACAUAUUGCAAGUUGGAUACAUUGAUAAUACACUGCACAGAUUAAAAGUCCCAUAAGAACAUAACAUGGGUAUAGCAGUGAUCAAUAUGAUGCACGCCUGUUGCGUAGCAAAUGAUGUGGAUUGAAGUCCCAAAUGGACAAUUCUUUGACAUGUCAAUGUUGAUAUUAUGCACGCCUAAUGCGUAGCAAAUUAUAUGGGUUAAAGUCUCAUUAAAUGGGUUAAAGUCCCAGAAAUUAAUUGACAUGUAUGUAUUAAUCUGUGGCAUGCCUGCAGCAUGACAGAUAUAUGGGUUCUAAAUGUUCCAACUCUCUAAAUAGAGAUUAUUCACGCCCUACUGUAAAAUAACGCUUAAUUGGAGGUUAUAAUCCACAUUCUCACAUAAUAAAAGCCCCCCUGAAGUGGCUUGGGUACCCAAAAGCAAAGAAAUGCUUAUAAUUGAUGCAUGCGCAUGCACAUGAGAAUGGUGAGAUCAUGAAUUGAUGAAUGACAAUUUUUGGUUUUGGAGUAGCUACUCAAAUCAUCAAUGGGCUUGUGUUGAUUGGAACCACGUUCAAUUAUUAAAUGUCGACAAUAUCAUUGGCCAAAAUGGAAAGAGGUAAUUCCAUUAUAGAUGAGAAUGAACGUGAAAGAACAAACCCACAGUACGAACCCCAAAAUUUGUUAAUACUGAAUUUAUACUUGGGUGUUCGGAAUACAAGGGAAUAUCCUUAUUUUGUAUGACACACUGUUUUCUGGCAGAAACAAGGAAUGUUGGGUUUUCUCCAUAUUUACAGAUUCAAUUGUGCCCCCCCCUUAUUACACAAUUAUGGAGACCAACAUAUUAUCUUUAAGGGUUAUUAAAUGCACAGAGCAUAUCGCCAGAAGCGAUUCCCUAAAGAUAUAUGAAUAGCUGGGAUAAAGCUAUAUAAUGUGUCAUAAAAAUUAAUCCCUUUUAGACAAAAUCCGUUGAGAGGAUUAUCAUUGCAUAAAGCAAGUCCCUAAAGGACAUGUGCUUGAAGCACAAAAUUUGUACUCAAUAUUAAUAUGCAUAAAUUACCUCAGUGAGUACAUUAAUGUGAUUGCAACACAUUAAAGAUUCUGCAGAAUUCACGAAAUAUAUGUCUCGACUUAAGGAUCGAGCAUUGUGCCAACGAGAUUAUUGCUUAUACUAAGAAAGUAUUGAAGCAUUUUUAUGAGGAUUAUCCGUUGGUCUUUAAAUGUUUUUCGGAAGUAUACUAGACCAGAUAGAGCUUAGCUCCACACUGUACUCUUUUUCCUUCAUCCAGGUUUUUAUCCCAUUGGGUUUUUCCCGGUAAGGUUUUAACGAGGCAGUGUCGCUCAGGGGGUUUAGAGUAUACUAUGAAAAUUUUUAUGGUCGCUUACUGGACAAAAGCUAGUCCUCCAUUUUCCAGGGGGAGAUAUUCAUCAGGAGGAGCAUGGUUUUGAUAAAGACCUCCAUACACUGUACUCUUUUUCCUUCAUCCAGAUUUUUAUCCCACUGGGUUUUUCCUGGUAAGGUUUUAACGAGGCAGUGUCGCUCAAGAUUGACUCACAGAAGCAGUGUCGCACGCGCGUCAAUAUACACAGAAUUUUAUGUUACACAUGAUUAUGUACUCUUUUUACCUUUGACCAGUUUUUGUCCCACUGGGUUUUUACUGGCAAGGUUUUUAACGAGGCAUAUUCCAUAUCAUUUGUGGUCUCCAAGGGGGAGUGUUGUAAAUAAUUAGUUGUGGAGCCCACAUGUUCCCUAGGCUUUGCCGAUAAAAGGGUUCAUCCCUUCAUUGUUCAAUACACAUAGAAAUGAGAAUAAGAAACUCAGUUUCUCUACUUUCUCUCUCUCUCUCUCAAUUUCCUCUCCAAAUUCUCCAGUUUUAUAACAAGUUGGUGGGUAUUUAUAGGAAGAAUUGUGUAUGAGAUUUAAAAAAACAAAAACUCAUACUAGCCGUUGAGCCCUUGUAGCAGUUGGCCUACUUUACAAAAAAAAACAACAACAACAAUAAUGAAACUAGCUGGUGAGAACUUGAGAGCUUGAAGCCAUUAGUCAAAUUAUUAAAAAAUAUAUAUAUUGUUAUAAAAUAACCUAGAAUAUGUGCGAUAAUUCAGAGCUGCACGUAAAGUAGAUGAGACACAGCAUUUAACGAGGUUCGGCUAUGCCUACGUCCUCGGAGAGCAGCAGCAGUAACUUUUUCACUAUGUAAAAUAAUAGGGCUACAAGUUUAGUGUUUACAAUAUAUGUGGCUCACUGAAUUUUCUCUCUAGGAGAAUUUCUCUCUGCUCUCUCUUCUCUCUUUCUUCCUUCUCUUCCUUUCUCUUUUUCUUCCUUCUCUUCCUUUCUCUUUUUCUUCUCUUCUUCUUUCCCUUUCUCUUCUUAUUUAUAGGCUGAAAUAAUCACUAUUCAUCACUAUUCAUCACUGUUCACCCGUGACAGACAGACUCUAUCAAAGCCGCCAAAUGAACAGUAAUGAACAGUAAUGAAAACUCUAUCAAGCCGCCAAAUGAACAGUAAUGAACAGUAAUGAAUAGUUAGUGGGCUCCACAUGUUUAUUCUUUUACAACACUCCCCCUUGGAGACCACUAAUGAUAUGUCGGUUGUAUCAUUAAAGACUUGCUUGGAGAAAACCUAGUAAGGUAGAGAACUGAUGAAAAGAAGAGUACAACAAUCUGUAUAGCAUACUUCUGGAUGCUCCCCCUGAUUAAUAUCUCCCCCUGAUGUCUUCAUGACUAUCUUUUGGAUUGAGAAUCUUUCGGAGUGAGUGGAUGAUGUAGCCACCAACAAUUCAUAUAGUAAAUAUAUUUCCAGUGAGCUAUCUCUAUGUAAAUCAUAGAAAUUUUCAGAGUCCGCAUAUCUAAUAACGCUUGGGCUAUUUAUAAGUUCACUUGAAAGAAUAUGCCCAUACAUGGUGUUAUGCGGAAAUAGCAUCAAAUAUACCUCACAUCAUCCCAAAAUGAUGGUGAUGGAGUUGAGCCUUAUUUGGAAAAUAUGAUGUUCGGUCCAACAUACUUCCGGAAAAUUCUUAAAGUGCCCAACGGAUAAUCCUCAUAAAAAUGCUUCAAUACUUUCUUAGUAUAAGCAAGUAUCUCGUUGGCAUAAUGCUCGAUCUUUAAGUCGAGACAAAUAUUUCUGGAAUUCUUGAGAAGCUUUAAUGUGUUGCAAACACAUUAUAAUCAAUAUACUCACUGAGGCAAUUUAUGUACAUUAACAUUGAGUACAGAUUUUGUGCUUCAGGCACAUGUCCACAGACUUGCUUCAUGCAAUUUCAAUCCUUUCAAGGAUUUUGUUUAAAGGGAUUAAACUCUAUGACACAUUAUAUAGCUUUAACCCAUCUAUUUAUAUAUCUUUAGGGAAUCACUUCAGGUGAUAUGCUCUGUGCAUUUAAUAACCCUUAAAGAUAACAUGUUGGUCUUCGUAAAUGUGCAAUAAAGGGGCACAAUUGAAUCUAUAAAUAUGGAGAAAACCCAACAUCCCUUGUUUAUGUCAAAAACAUUGUGUCAUACUGUGAGUUUGUUCUUUCACGUUCAUUCUCAUCUAUAAUGGAAUUGCCUCAUUUCAUUUUGGCCAAUGAUAUUGUCGACAUUUAAUAAUUGAACGUGGUUCCAAUCAACACAGCCCAUUGAUGAUUUGAGUAGCUACUCCAAAAUCAAAAAUUGUCAUUCAUCAAUUCAUGAUCCCACCAUUCUCAUUUGCAUGCGCAUGCAUCAAUUAUAAGCAUUUCUUUGCUUUUGGGUACCCAAGCCACUUCAUGGGGCUUUUAUUAUGUGAGAAUGUGGAUUAUAACAUCUAUUGGAGCGUUAUUUUACAUAGGGCGUGGAAAAUCUCCAUUUAGGGAGUUGGAACAUUUAGAACCCAUAUAUCUGUCAUGCUGCAGGCAUGCCACAGAUUAAUACAUACAUGUCAAUUAAUUUAUGAGACUUUAACCCAUAUUAUGGGACUUUAACCCAUAUAAUUUGCUAUGCAUUAGGCGUGCAUAAUAUCAAUAUUGACAUGUCAAAGGAUUGUCAUUUCGGGACUUCAAUCCAUGACGGUUUACCCAAAAUGGUUCAUAUUUAUGCAUACGUCACUAUUCAUGUGAAUAGUACUAUUCAUCAAGUCAUGAAUACGUAUCUAUUCAUCUGCCAGUACAGUUAUCAUCAAUGUGUACGGCACCAUGAAACUGCAGGUUCCCUUUUGUAUAUAGUGACGGUUUACCCAAAAUAGUUCAUAUUUAUGCAUACGUCACUAUUCAUGUGAAUAGUACUGUUCAUCAAGUCAUGAAUACAUAUCUAUUCAUGUGUACAGUACAUCUGCCAGUACAGUUAUCAUCCAUGGCUCAUAUUUAUGCAUACGUCACUAUUCAUGUGAAUAGUACUGUUCAUCAAGUCAUGAAUACAUAUCUAUUCAUGUGUACAGUACAUCUGCCAGUACAGUUAUCAUCCAUGUGUACGGCACUAUGAACCAAUACGGUACUAUUACAUCAUUAAGGAACCCCAGGUCCUUAUUCACAUGUCAGGGAUCAAGGACCUUUAAGUCCAAUCACAUGUUUACAAGUAUAGUACCGGAGAGACUGCCAGCUCUCAUAUCAAUAUCAUCAUCAAGGAUCUUCAAGUCCUGAUGUAAUUGUAUGAUGAGGAUCAAGGAAUUGCUGGUCCUGAUCUGCAUACUGUAAAAACUCAUCAUACAGCACAUUUAGUCCAUAAAAUAAAUUGCUGGUAAAUAAAUUACUGGUAUGGACGAUAAAACCCGCACCACACUUUAAAUAAAAGUAAAGGCGUGGACGAUAAACCCGCACCACCCUUUUAAAUAAAUGUAAAUGUGCGGUAAUUUAAAUUCAUAAAUUAAACGUGCGUGUAUGGGCACUAAUUCUGCUCCAUACUUUUAAAUGAACGUAAAGGCGUGGACGAUAAACCCGCACCACCCUUUUAAAUAAAUGUAAAUGUGCAGUAAAUUAAAUUCAUAAAUUAAUUUGUUAGUAUUAGUAACGGUCUCCCACUGAUAAUAUGUUUAGUAUUACCAAGGGUCCAUUUUUGUUAAUGGUUAGUAAUAGAAAAGCAGAUAAAUAUAGUAUAUUAUAUUACCAUCAACUUUUCAUAUAUAUAUAUAUAUUAUACUGAUAUAUUAGUGGAAAGCUAGAUGCGUUGGCUUUUCUUCUUUACAUCAACAUAAUGGUUAGUAUUAUAAAUAAUAGUGCAGCACAAAAAUUAUACCUGAGAGCUUCUCGUGCUGAUAACGUGUUAUAAAAUAACCUAGAAUAUGUGCGAUAAUUCAGAGCUGCACGUAAAGUAGAUGAGACACAGCAUUUAACGAGGUUCGGCUAUGCCUACGUCCUCGGAGAGCAGCAGCAGUAACUUUUUCACUAUGUAAAAUAAUAGGGCUACAAGUUUAGUGUUUACAAUAUAUGUGGCUCACUGAAUUUUCUCUCUAGGAGAAUUUCUCUCUGCUCUCUCUUCUCUCUUUCUUCCUUCUCUUCCUUUCUCUUUUU